rnacentral:ncRNA from 1 species
GGUCAUGAGUGCCAGCAGAUAGCCCCGGCUUGCUGGCCGGCAACCCUUGCGUUCGCGAUGGGGUGCCCCGGGUGAAGACCGGGCUGAUGUCGCCCGACAUCGGCAAAACGGCGAA